GUGUGUGCCCAGUCUCAUUUAAGCUCUUCUCAGAAGCUAAACAUGGCUGGGCCUAGUUAGUACUCAGAUAUUAGAAAGCAUAAAGGACCCGGGCAUUGGUGGCACACGCC
ensembl:rRNA 5S_rRNA 5S ribosomal RNA